rnacentral:rRNA from 1 species
CGGGACACGUGGUAUCCUGUCUGAAUAUGGGGGGACCAUCCUCCAAGGCUAAAUACUCCUGACUGACCGAUAGUGAACCAGUACCGUGAGGGAAAGGCGAAAAGAACCCCGGCGAGGGGAGUGAAAAAGAACCUGAAACCGUGUACGUACAAGCAGUGGGAGCACAGAGCAAUCUGUGUGACUGCGUACCUUUUGUAUAAUGGGUCAGCGACUUAUAUUCUGUAGCAAGGUUAACCGAAUAGGGGAGCCGAAGGGAAACCGAGUCUUAACUGGGCGUUAAGUUGCAGGGUAUAGACCCGAAACCCGGUGAUCUAGCCAUGGGCAGGUUGAAGGUUGGGUAACACUAACUGGAGGACCGAACCGACUAAUGUUGAAAAAUUAGCGGAUGACUUGUGGCUGGGGGUGAAAGGCCAAUCAAACCGGGAGAUAGCUGGUUCUCCCCGAAAGCUAUUUAGGUAGCGCCUCGUGAAUUCAUCUCCGGGGGUAGAGCACUGUUUCGGCAAGGGGGUCAUCCCGACUUACCAACCCGAUGCAAACUGCGAAUACCGGAGAAUGUUAUCACGGGAGACACACGGCGGGUGCUAACGUCCGUCGUGAAGAGGGAAACAACCCAGACCGCCAGCUAAGGUCCCAAAGUCAUGGUUAAGUGGGAAACGAUGUGGGAAGGCCCAGACAGCCAGGAUGUUGGCUUAGAAGCAGCCAUCAUUUAAAGAAAGCGUAAUAGCUCACUGGUCGAGUCGGCCUGCGCGGAAGAUGUAACGGGGCUAAACCAUGCACCGAAGCUGCGGCAGCGACACUAUGUGUUGUUGGGUAGGGGAGCGUUCUGUAAGCCUGUGAAGGUGUGCUGUGAGGCAUGCUGGAGGUAUCAGAAGUGCGAAUGCUGACAUAAGUAACGAUAAAGCGGGUGAAAAGCCCGCUCGCCGGAAGACCAAGGGUUCCUGUCCAACGUUAAUCGGGGCAGGGUGAGUCGACCCCUAAGGCGAGGCCGAAAGGCGUAGUCGAUGGGAAACAGGUUAAUAUUCCUGUACUUGGUGUUACUGCGAAGGGGGGACGGAGAAGGCUAUGUUGGCCGGGCGACGGUUGUCCCGGUUUAAGCGUGUAGGCUGGUUUUCCAGGCAAAUCCGGAAAAUCAAGGCUGAGGCGUGAUGACGAGGCACUACGGUGCUGAAGCAACAAAUGCCCUGCUUCCAGGAAAAGCCUCUAAGCAUCAGGUAACAUCAAAUCGUACCCCAAACCGACACAGGUGGUCAGGUAGAGAAUACCAAGGCGCUUGAGAGAACUCGGGUGAAGGAACUAGGCAAAAUGGUGCCGUAACUUCGGGAGAAGGCACGCUGAUAUGUAGGUGAAGCGACUUGCUCGUGGAGCUGAAAUCAGUCGAAGAUACCAGCUGGCUGCAACUGUUUAUUAAAAACACAGCACUGUGCAAACACGAAAGUGGACGUAUACGGUGUGACGCCUGCCCGGUGCCGGAAGGUUAAUUGAUGGGGUCAGCGCAAGCGAAGCUCUUGAUCGAAGCCCCGGUAAACGGCGGCCGUAACUAUAACGGUCCUAAGGUAGCGAAAUUCCUUGUCGGGUAAGUUCCGACCUGCACGAAUGGCGUAAUGAUGGCCAGGCUGUCUCCACCCGAGACUCAGUGAAAUUGAACUCGCUGUGAAGAUGCAGUGUACCCGCGGCAAGACGGAAAGACCCCGUGAACCUUUACUAUAGCUUGACACUGAACAUUGAGCCUUGAUGUGUAGGAUAGGUGGGAGGCUUUGAAGUGUGGACGCCAGUCUGCAUGGAGCCGACCUUGAAAUACCACCCUUUAAUGUUUGAUGUUCUAACGUUGACCCGUAAUCCGGGUUGCGGACAGUGUCUGGUGGGUAGUUUGACUGGGGCGGUCUCCUCCUAAAGAGUAACGGAGGAGCACGAAGGUUGGCUAAUCCUGGUCGGACAUCAGGAGGUUAGUGCAAUGGCAUAAGCCAGCUUGACUGCGAGCGUGACGGCGCGAGCAGGUGCGAAAGCAGGUCAUAGUGAUCCGGUGGUUCUGAAUGGAAGGGCCAUCGCUCAACGGAUAAAAGGUACUCCGGGGAUAACAGGCUGAUACCGCCCAAGAGUUCAUAUCGACGGCGGUGUUUGGCACCUCGAUGUCGGCUCAUCACAUCCUGGGGCUGAAGUAGGUCCCAAGGGUAUGGCUGUUCGCCAUUUAAAGUGGUACGCGAGCUGGGUUUAGAACGUCGUGAGACAGUUCGGUCCCUAUCUGCCGUGGGCGCUGGAGAACUGAGGGGGGCUGCUCCUAGUACGAGAGGACCGGAGUGGACGCAUCACUGGUGUUCGGGUUGUCAUGCCAAUGGCACUGCCCGGUAGCUAAAUGCGGAAGAGAUAAGUGCUGAAAGCAUCUAAGCACGAAACUUGCCCCGAGAUGAGUUCUCCCUGACUCCUUGAGAGUCCUGAAGGAACGUUGAAGACGACGACGUUGAUAGGCCGGGUGUGUAAGCGCAGCGAUGCGUUGAGCUAACCGGUACUAAUGAACCGUGAGGCUUAACCUU